rnacentral:rRNA from 1 species
CAAUAGCGUAUAUUAAAGUUGUUGCGGUUAAAAGCUCGUAGUUGGAUUUCUGCCUGAGGCAGCCGGUCCGCACUUAGUGCGUGUAUCUGGUUUGGUUUGGGCAUCCUCUUGGGGAUCGUUGCUGUGCUUAGUUGCAUGGUGCGGAAUUCAAGACGUUUACUUUGAGGAAAUUAGAGUGUUCACGGCAAGCAAUCGCUUUGAAUACAUUAGCAUGGAAUAAUAAUAUAGGACCUUGGUACUAUUUUGUUGGUUUCUAGAACUAAGGUAAUGAUUAAUAGGGAUAAUUGGGGGCAUUCGUAUUAACGCGUCAGAGGUGGAAUUCUUGGAUUGCGUUACGACGAACUACUGCGAAAGCAUUUGCCAAGGAUGUUUUCAUUGAUCAAGAACGAAAGUAUGGGGAUCGAAGAUGAUCAGAUACCAU